ACUGAAACAGAACUUUAUUCCUUUUGGCUAACUGACAGAAGAGGUUACUACUGGAGGUAACAGUCAACAAAACAUUUCUUCAACAGGCAGAUUUGUUCCCGUGGCUCAAUGGGAUCUGCUCAAAGAGGAAAUGACAUAGACAAUAUUUAUCAAAACCCUAUAAGUGUGGAGUCUCCUUACCAGACUUUUCAGUUACAACAUCCAGGGAAGAAUAUCCAGAAGAGUGUGGGACCAUAUUCGACAGGAAGAGGAUCAAGAAUUUUAGUCAUCGUCCUGUGUUUCAUAAAUACCCUGCUCCUGGUCAUCAACCUUGUGGUAUUAGGAGUGCAUUAUUCCAAGUCUAAUGCUGAUAACACCCAUUUGGCAGGAUAUGGCCAAACGUACCUUCUGGAUAACCAGAAUGGUUUUUGGCAUCUACGCGACAACAUUUUUUAUCUGUUUUGGCAUGGCCAGGGGGACUGCCAGGAGGCUGAAAGCUUCUGCAACAAGAAAAAUGCUACUCUUGUCACACUACGCAAGCACAACCGGGACUGGAUGAUAUCAGUGGCCAAUGGAAAGCAGUUGUGGGUGAAAGCAGAUAUCCACUCUUUUUCUGGUCAAAGCCCGGAUGAAGAGGCCUGUCCCUGUGAGCUUCUUUUGGCCUCAGAUCGCUUUGCUGCAGCAGACUGUGAGAACGUUCAUAGCUGGGUGUGUGAAAGAGAGGAAUAUACUCCUACAAUUAUGAUUGAUCACCCAAUACUAAACUGAUAUUGACUCCCGAACCAAGGGGUGUAUUUCUGGAUUUCAUACUUUUUAAUCACAAUCAUGCACACCUGAUAUAGCAUGUUAGUCAAAUGUAUUGAUUAAGCUCAGUAAUAAGGCUGCAUUGUUUUGCUUUGCAUGGGACACUUUUUGAGGAACAGUGCAAAAAAAACCCCCAAAAAACAUUAGUGAAUCCCUAUGAGGUGCAGUAAUGACCUGGUGUACCCUUUUGGGAUCCACUGAUUAUUUUCCAUUUUAAAUUGUAAGAUGUUUCCUUUUCUCGUAUACUUACAAUAUGUCCAUUCAGUGCCAGUGGUACAAUACAGUAUUUUGACAAAGGUGACAAAGUCUUAUUUAACAUAAUUAAUACUUGCAUAGGAAUGUACUGAAAAAAAUAAAUACAUGCCAUUUUUUUGUUCUCUGGCACAGUGGUACAAUUUAUGUUUGUAAAAUAAAUGUAUAAUAAACAUAUAAUUGAUUAUGUAGGCUAUGAGAAAUGUGCUUUCCAACAUCUUCUUUUGUUUGGAAAAAGCAUCUGCCAAAGAAAUAUAAUGUAAUGUAAUGUCAUUUCCAGGAUAUGAGCGAUUUGCUAUAUUUAUUUCAAUGUCCAAUUUCUAAAGUACUGUAUUUUUUCCAUGGCAGAAGAAGUGUUAGAGAAUCUAUUUUCAACAAAGACGUGGAAAUAUAAAACCUAAAAUAAUCGAAAAAUAGUCCCAGCGUUCAAAAAAAUAACAUCAAAUGCGAUGAAAACUGAGUGAGUGCACAUUUAAGUCAAAAUUAGUGAGUAAUUUCUGAGUGGUGCAGAAUGGACUUACAGUAUGAUUAUAUUUUGUAAAUGGCAAUAGAUGUUUCAUUUAUAAAGAUAAAUAUGUCAAUCUCACAUUGUCAUGAUUAGAAAUAAACACAUGACUGUA